rnacentral:rRNA from 1 species
GAUGAACGCUGGCGGCGUGCUUAACACAUGCAAGUCGAACGGAAAGGCUCCUGCUUGCAGGGGUACUCGAGUGGCGAACGGGUGAGUAACACGUGGGUGAUCUGCCCUGCACUUCGGGAUAAGCCUGGGGAACUGGGUCUAAUACCGGAUAGGACGAUGGUUUGGAUGCCAUUGUGGAAAGUUUUUUCGGUGUGGGAUGAGCUCGCGGCCUAUCAGCUUGUUGGUGGGGUAAUGGCCUACCAAGGCGUCGACGGGUAGCCGGCCUGAGAGGGUGUACGGCCACAUUGGGACUGAGAUACGGCCCAGACUCCUACGGGAGGCAGCAGUGGGGAAUAUUGCACAAUGGGCGCAAGCCUGAUGCAGCGACGCCGCGUGGGGGAUGACGGCCUUCGGGUUGUAAACUCCUUUCGCUAGGGACGAAGCGCAAGUGACGGUACCUGGAGAAGAAGCACCGGCUAACUACGUG